AAAAAUAGCAAGUCAACCGAAGAGCAUUUUGAAGAAGGAAAAAUGCUGGAAGGUGUUUCGUCCACAUACCAGAUGAAAAUAAUAAACAGAAGUAGGCACAUUGUGGCUGGCAUGGGAAGGACUCUUAUGACCAAGGAUUCCCCCUUGUACAUAACAUAAAUUCCAGGGGGGAAAGACAUGAAAACUCUGAAAAUAUCUAACAAUAGAAGGAACAUCCUAGCAUAGGGAACAACAGAUCAAAGCGCCUUGAUUAGUCAAUGAUGAAUUUACUGUCUUAGAAAGACAUAGAAUAUCCAAAGGAAGCAAUGUGAACUCAGCUUACAUUAUGGAUUAUUUUUAUGUGUAGCUUACAUCAAUCACGGUUCACCAAGCUCUACCCUUUAGGGGUCACCGGUUUUGAAGCAGUUCGAAACCAUAGACUGAUCAGGAUUCCGAACCAGAAUUUAACCAGUCCGAUUAUGCUCCGAAACCGCCCUAUGGCAGAGUCUACAUUUAUGUUUGCUGAAAGAAAAAUAAAUAAAAAAUAAAGCAAACAAAUUACAAAGCCCAGAUUUAGAAAACCACAAUAAAACAAUGCUACAUAUCAUAUCAUGACCAAUAUAAAACUAGCUUAAAAAGCCAAAAGACCAAUCAGUGUCCAAAUCCUUAAGCAAAAUUUUCAAAGUUGCCAGCCUUGCGUGCAAUCCUAUGCAUAAACAAAAAGAAGCACAAACUACGCGUACAAAAGCGAUGCCCCUCCCCCUCCCUUAAGGAGAAAAACAAACGUUAGAGAAUAUCAUCAUAAGCAACUAUCUCCCUGCCUUUGGACGGCACAUCUGGCACAGCAGAAGUAUCACCACUACUUCUCGGAUUUACUAUAGCAGAAGCGAGCUUAUUACCUCUGCCGUGUCUGCUUAAGGGUCUCUCAGGCCGCAAAAGUUUGGAGGAUGACCCAUUUUCCUUGUUACCUCCAACCCCAACUCCUUCCCUCCACUGCGCAAGAGGAUCCGUUGCCCAUAACACCUGCACUCUUUUCGAAUCAAUAGUGAUGCCAAAGGAGGCGUCAAGGGCAGCAGCAAUGGCAGCUUCGGCAGAGUCCUUGGACCGGUACGUGACGUACCCGACGCCAUCACGGUCGAUGCGGAUACGGGAGAUUGAACCGUAGAUCUCGAACCUCGACUUCAGAUCAAGAACAGAGGAAUUCGGUAGCAGACCCAUAACCACCACAGCAGGUGGCGGAGGCGGCUUCACGGCUGGCUUGUCGUCACUCUCUUCGGCGGACUGUGGAGGAGGCAGAGGGCGACGCCGUUUCGGGUAGGGAGCACGGUCGUGGCGAGAGAAGUAUGGUUUAUCUCUCUUGCGACUCAUUGUAGGCGAAGAGGAAAUCGAAUUGAGGAAGUGAUUGGAGUUCAGUUUUGGAUGCAGAGAAGGAGUUGUGAGCUGAAGGUGGAUGCGUACGUGUGAGUUACUAAGGUCGAGGUUGGCCACAUGUGGCUUCGACGUUAUACGUGGUCAAGGCUCAAG
rnacentral:misc_RNA from 1 species